CCGAACCGACUAAUGUUGAAAAAUUAGCGGAUGACCUGUGGCUGGGGGUGAAAGGCCAAUCAAACCGGGAGAUAGCUGGUUCUCCCCGAAAGCUAUUUAGGUAGCGCCUCGUGAAUUCAUCUCCGGGGGUAGAGCACUGUUUCGGCUAGGGGGCCAUCCCGGCUUACCAACCCGAUGCAAACUGCGAAUACCGGAGAAUGUUAUCACGGGAGACACACGGCGGGUGCUAACGUCCGUCGUGAAGAGGGAAACAACCCAGACCGCCAGCUAAGGUCCCAAAGUCAUGGUUAAGUGGGAAACGAUGUGGGAAGGCCCAGACAGCCAGGAUGUUGGCUUAGAAGCAGCCAUCAUUUAAAGAAAGCGUAAUAGCUCACUGGUCGAGUCGGCCUGCGCGGAAGAUGUAACGGGGCUAAACCAUGCACCGAAGCUGC
rnacentral:rRNA from 1 species